CCUACGGGAGGCAGCAGUGGGGAAUAUUGCACAAUGGGCGGAAGCCUGAUGCAGCGACGCCGCGUGAGGGAUGACGGCCUUCGGGUUGUAAACCUCUUUCAGCAGGGACGAAGCGUAAGUGACGGUACCUGCAGAAGAAGCACCGGCUAACUAUGUGCCAGCAGCCGCGGUAAUACGUAGGGUGCGAGCGUUGUCCGGAAUUACUGGGCGUAAAGGGCUCGUAGGUGGUUUGUCGCGUCGUCUGUGAAAUUCCGGGGCUUAACUCCGGGCGUGCAGGCGAUACGGGCAUAACUUGAGUACUGUAGGGGUAACUGGAAUUCCUGGUGUAGCGGUGAAAUGCGCAGAUAUCAGGAGGAACACCGAUGGCGAAGGCAGGUUACUGGGCAGUUACUGACGCUGAGGAGCGAAAGCAUGGGUAGCGAACAGGAUUAGAUACCCUGGUAGUCCAUGCCGUAAACGGUGGGCGCUAGGUGUGAGGUUCUUUUCACGACUUUCGUGCCGUAGCUAACGCAUUAAGCGCCCCGCCUGGGGAGUACGGCCGCAAGGCUAAAACUCAAAGGAAUUGACGGGGGCCCGCACAAGCGGCGGAGCAUGUGGAUUAAUUCGAUGCAACGCGAAGAACCUUACCUGGGCUUGACAUAUAGAGGAUCGCUACAGAGAUGUGGUUUCCCUUGUGGCUUCUAUACAGGUGGUGCAUGGUUGUCGUCAGCUCGUGUCGUGAGAUGUUGGGUUAAGUCCC
rnacentral:rRNA from 1 species